GAACCAGUACCGUGAGGGAAAGGUGAAAAGCACCCCGACGAGGGGAGUGAAACAGUACCUGAAACCGAACGCCUACAAUCAGUUGGAGGGGCUUUACGCCCUGACAGCGUACCUUUUGUAUAAUGGGUCAUCGACUUGGUCUCACGAGCAAGCUUAACCCGUUAGGUGUAGGCGUAGCGAAAGCGAGUCUGAAUAGGGCGACUGAGUAUGUUGGAUUAGACCCGAACCCCGGCGAUCUAGGCAUGACCAGGUUGAAGGUGCAGUAACAUGCACUGGAGGACCGAACCGUUGAAUGUUGAAAAAUUCUCGGAUGAGUUGUGUUUAGGGGUGAAAGGCCAAUCAAGCCGGGAAAUAGCUGGUUCUCCGCGAAAUCUAUUGAGGUAGAGCGUCAGAUGUAUGCCGAUGGGGGUAGAGCACUGGAUGGGCUAGGGG
rnacentral:rRNA from 1 species